GAUUUUUUUUUUUUCAUUUUUUUUGGUAUGAUUUUGGAAUAUUUCAUGUGAAUUUCUUUCAUCAGUCAGAGAUGUCUUUUAAUUUAUUUUCUGGUCUACAAUUUGCUUUUAGGUGUUUAUGUUCAGCACCAGAGGAGAUUAGUCCAAAGGAUUUGGAUAAUCUCCUAAGAUUGAGCAAAGGUAUGACUCAGCCGUCGUGCCUUCUACCUACAAAUAAGAAUCAAGUUAUUAAACAGUUGUCAUGUGCAUAAAGCUUAUAUGUAUCAUAGAUACAUGCAUUUAUGCUUCAAUUGAAACAAAGACCCAAGUUUCAUGACCUCUAGAUUUUUUUGAAUAAUCUUAUUGCGUGCAUUGUAUGGUCACUCUCAUUUUAAUUUUGGAAAUUGAAUUGUCAUUACGAUAACAUUAAUUAUGGUUUUCAAUCAGAAUGUAUAGUUUUUAUCCUUGUUUAAUCUCAAUAUCAUCCAUUGAUUUUUUUUUUUCUCUCUCUCUCUGUAUCUUUUCCC
rnacentral:misc_RNA from 1 species